UACGAAGGGGGCUAGCGUUGUUCGGAGUUACUGGGCGUAAAGGGCGCGUAGGCGGCGCACCAAGUCAGGCGUGAAAGCCCUGGGCUCAACCCGGGAAUUGCGCUUGAGACUGGUGUGCUUGAGUACGGGAGAGGAUAGUGGAAUUCCCAGUGUAGAGGUGAAAUUCGUAGAUAUUGGGAAGAACACCAGUGGCGAAGGCGGCUCACUGGCCCGGUACUGACGCUGAAAUACGAAAGCGUGGGGAGCAAACAGG
rnacentral:rRNA from 1 species